CGCUUCUCCAUGCCCUAGAGACUACCGGGCUGGAUCUCAACUUUUCAUCCAUGCUGCUAUCCAAUCUCCAUGUGUUCCUUUGAUUUAGAAAAGUUUGCAUCGCAAGAGAAUUUGUGAGGGGGAGCAGGGGAGGUGGUUGGAUCAGGGCUGGUGGUGCUGCGACGCAGAGGCAGUGGUUGGGGAGACGUCGUGGUGCAGCCGAGGAAGCUCGAGAGGCGGUGACUAAAGGAGGCUCUGGUGGUGCUGCGACGCAGAGGCAGUGGUUGGGGAGACGUCGUGGUGCAGCCGAGGAAGCUCGAGAGACGGUGACUAAAGGAGGCUCUACUGGCUGUGGAGAAUCUCCAUGGCCGACGAGCUACACCGUACACAGGAGGCGGCGAUGCCAUGGACGGCUGCAGAGCCGAGGUGCGACGAGCAGAUGGGAAGUCGGCGAGGCGCACAGGAAGCGGCGGCGCCCUAGACGGCUGCAAAGGAGAGAGGCCACAAGGGGAGGAGCUCAGGUGGAGCAACUCCUCGCUUCUGUCACCAUGUCCAAAGUCGUAUCCCUCGAGGCUGUAGUUCUCAAAAAAUAUAGAUCACAAUCUAAUUUUUCCUCUCCUUGAUCCCCUUCUUCCAAGGAUUGAAUCUCUUCAGUUCCAAAAUUCAAAUCAAUGCACAAUCAUCAUCUUAAACAACCACAUGAUCCAAUCCCAGCCUCCCCGGAUGCUUUGCUCCUCAAUAUUUAAAUCCCCUCAGUUUCACCAAGCACCAUGAUUUUUCAUAAGAAUUGAGUGUUGGUCAGUUGGAAGAUGGAGACAGUUUGAAACAGGUCAAGCAGUCGUCACCGUCAGCGAGGCUGCGAAGUGGAUGAACAACACUCCGUCUACGCAGGCAGGGUUCCUGCAGGCAGACAACAAGAGGCACACGCACGGUGGCAGCAGGCAGGUGGUGGGUGCGGCGACAACUGUGAGAUGCAUGUCUCCGGCAGCCGCGUCGCCUUCUACGCUAGACAAUUAUAUUAUACAUCUGCUAAGGGUAACUACAAGGUGUUCUUCACGGAGCUCAGUUGAGCUGAAUUAGUCAAGUUGUUGGGGAGUGAAGGAGAAUCAACCAGCUGAGAUAAUCUGCGUGGCAUUUGCUGCCAACUAGCAGAGUUGUGUACAUAUAGAAAUCAACCACUGUCAGCCAAAUCUUUUUGAUGUUUAUAGAAGCUUCAUAGACGUUUUCCUAUGUAAAGGAUUUCGAGAUUGUACGUUUUUCUUCCAAUAUGUGCUAACUUUCAGAUUAUCUGCAUGUACAACAAACAUUUCUUUUGUCCAGGAAUAAGAAUCAUAUCUUAUAGUGUAUAGUAUUUUGUUGGUAGAUUUUUCAGAUUUAAGUAUUGUUGGUUGUGCAAGAAAAUAGCUUCAUGUAUGGAUUAUUGAGUUACACAUGUUUCUGUUUAUGGUUUGUUUGUUGUAUUUGGAAACAGAUAUAGAUAGAUGAUCUUUUUAAUACAAAACAUUUAUAUUAAAUUUUCCUGCGUUUCUAGCCAUGUAAUCCAUAUUAUCAUUGUUUUUUUUAAUAAUAUGUGUGAUCCUUCCUUUGCAGUUACAGUAUUCAGAUAGCAUAGUUUCCACUUACAGAAAAUAUGCUAAAGUAUUUUCAGGUACACUUUUUGAGUGCCCUCACAGUGUUUUUCAUGUUUCUUGCAAGGGCUUCUACAUAAGGAUAAAUCUGUUCUAAAAAAUAGUAGAUUUAUGUAGUCUCAUUAUGCACAGCAAAAUAUUCACGCAUGCCUCUACAUCUACUUCAUUGAAUAGUAAUCUGCAAUCUUCAUUAGGAUAGAACAAAAAAUUCUGUGAGAAAACUUACACAUCUUUAUCUCAAAUUGUUAAAUGGGUUUAGGUACUGCCAAUUCCAAUAUGGUCGCUUAUGUUUCUUUUGUCAUUGAUAGUUUCUCAUGAGUCCUAACUUCUACAGGUAAGGAAUUGAUUUGCCUCUUGAUAGUUUUUUCUUGCUUUUUGAAUUUAUCUUUCUGUUGCAACCAAAUUACAUUAUUAUUUUCUGCAAAUCGAAGUUGAAAUCCAUGGUUUCUCUAUGCUGGUAAAAAAUAAAGCAGUGUUCUUGAUAUUCCCCAUCUCUUUUCUUAACACAAUAUGCAUCUUAUCUUCUCUCAUGUAAGCAAUCUCGAUAAGAGUCCUCUAUCUUCAAACCACACUCAAGUCCAUGGUUUUCCUCGGCGCGACAAACUAUAGUUGGAUCAGUGUUUCAAAAGACGUGGCGUGGGCUUGAAGGAUACGCCGAAGGCAUCAGAUGGUCGGAGGGAUCGCCAAGGGGAGGUUCCCAGGGCUAUGAACUAGCAAGUAAUUUGAUUUUUUUAUUACUAGUAAGCGUGCACGUGCAACGCACGUCCUGCCAAUUCAAUCAAUUUUUCAA